rnacentral:lncRNA from 1 species
GCUUUCUGGUACCUUUAACACCUGUAGCUCCCUGCCUGGCUCAGUUUACUUCUGGGUUCAGCUGCCUGCCAAGACGCCAGGUGACAAUCGGGGCUCUCCAAGGCCGCUCCUGCCAUUGUCUCCAGCUGUGGGGCCCAAGAAACCACACACGUGAGAUGCACAGUCUGAUAUGGCCGGCUCUGCCCCUCUGGGUUUUAUAUCUUUUCAAAGUGAUUCAUUGAAAGCUGUGGCUGUUGUCAGCUGGGUGCUGGGAGCACUGAACAAAUUCCCUGCCUAGGUUGUGUAGACAACGUGGGGAAUGGGAGACCCUUGGGAUCCUGAUGGUCUCGCCAGGCCUACUGAGACAAGUGUCCAGUGCCAUCGGACCUGUGCUCAUGCAGUUACUUACUACCAUGUGAAUCUGACCAUCAAAAUUCUUCCUACAUUUCAAUUCCCCCAACUCUAAAAUGAGGAGGUUGGGCUUGAUACCAUCUCAGAACUCUUCCAGCUAUAAACUGCAAACCAAUCAGAGACCUGAUUGAUAAAUGCUACACGUGUACAUCUCAUUGAGCUCAAGGACAGAGCUUCCCCUCUCCUCACUGUCUGCAGUGCCUGGUCCAGGCAGGACCUGCCAUCAAGUCAAUGCUGAAAAUGUUGGCCACACAAAAACAUCUGCACCGUCGGAAGGAACAGAAGCUCCAGAACAAUGCCUGGGCUUCAAGAUCCAAUGGAACUUUGUCAGUUGAACGCCAGUCUUGAAUCCAGGUCUUCUUGCUUCCAAAUGUGGUCCUCUGCUGUCUCAUCAGCCUCUUGGGGCCUCACGCUGGGCUCCAGUUCGGGGUGUGAGGAGACGCCAAAUGCUUCUCAGAAUGGCCUAUCUGGGAUCUCGCCCAGUGCCUUUCUCCCUCCUCUUGCUAUUUUUCGUGUCUUUUCUCUUCCCCCUCUCCCUGUGUCGGGCGUGUUUACUUGCAGCAGCCAGAAAGACCACCUUCCACCCGCCCUCUCUUCGGUUCAGCUGCACCUCUCUACUCCAAUAAACCGUUUGCAUUCCAUCUGGUGAGCGUUUGCUCUGAAGACAUUUCCUUGUCAAUCUCUCCCGCCACAUUAAAAAUCUGUCAUUACGAUUGCAUCGCCGCCUGGCUCCUGAGAUUUCUGACUGCUUUAUUGCUCUCCUCAUUUUUUUCUCUUGCCUGCUACAGCCGAGAAGCAGAAAUAAAGGUUUGUUGUUGAAACAUG